GGGCUAAUACCACAUAACAAUUUGAAUCGCAUGAUUCAAAUUUAAAAGAUGGCUUCGGCUAUCACUUUGGGAUGGACCUGCGGCGCAUUAGCUUGUUGGUAGGGUAACGGCCUACCAAGGCUGUGAUGCGUAGCCGAGUUGAGAGACUGAUCGGCCACAAUGGAACUGAGACACGGUCCAUACUCCUACGGGAGGCAGCAGUAGGGAAUCUUCCACAAUGGGCGCAAGCCUGAUGGAGCAACACCGCGUGAGUGAAGAAGGGUUUCGGCUCGUAAAGCUCUGUUGUUAGAGAAGAACGUGCGUGAGAGCAACUGUUCACGCAGUGACGGUAUCUAACCAGAAAGUCACGGCUAACUACGUGCCAGCAGCCGCGGUAAUACGUAGGUGGCAAGCGUUAUCCGGAUUUAUUGGGCGUAAAGCGAGCGCAGGCGGUUUGAUAAGUCUGAUGUGAAAGCCUUUGGCUUAACCAAAGAAGUGCAUCGGAAACUGUCAGACUUGAGUGCAGAAGAGGACAGUGGAACUCCAUGUGUAGCGGUGGAAUGCGUAGAUAUAUGGAAGAACACCAGUGGCGAAGGCGGCUGUCUGGUCUGCAACUGACGCUGAGGCUCGAAAGCAUGGGUAGCGAACAGGAUUAGAUACCCUGGUAGUCCAUGCCGUAAACGAUGAGUGCUAGGUGUUGGAGGGUUUCCGCCCUUCAGUGCCGCAGCUAACGCAUUAAGCACUCCGCCUGGGGAGUACGACCGCAAGGUUGAAACUCAAAGGAAUUGACGGGGGCCCGCACAAGCGGUGGAGCAUGUGGUUUAAUUCGAAGCUACGCGAAGAACCUUACCAGGUCUUGACAUCUUGCGCCAACCCUAGAGAUAGGGCGUUUCCUUCGGGAACGCAAUGACAGGUGGUGCAUGGUCGUCGUCAGCUCGUGUCGUGAGAUGUUGGGUUAAGUCCCGCAACGAGCGCAACCCUUGUUACUAGUUGCCAGCAUUCAGUUGGGCACUCUAGUGAGACUGCCGGUGACAAACCGGAGGAAGGUGGGGACGACGUCAGAUCAUCAUGCCCCUUAUGACCUGGGCUACACACGUGCUACAAUGGACGGUACAACGAGUCGCGAACUCGCGAGGGCAAGCUAAUCUCUUAAAAUAGUUCUCAGUUCGGACUGC
rnacentral:rRNA from 1 species